ACCCCCGGAGAUUGCCACUGGGCCAGGCCCCAGGCGGAUUUUCUCCCCCUUUCCCUGGGUUCCCGUGACGCUCUGACGUCCUUAGAUAGCCCAAGGCAGAGUUUUUCUGGACCAGCUUCUGUCCACACUGAAAGACUCUCACAUCCUUCAGAGCUUUUUAGGUUCUCAUGGGCAGAGCUGUUACUAAAACCCACGAGAAAUCCACUCGUAUAUACUGGUGAUGGCCAAUUAUUACGAGCUUUGGAUCCAUAUGAUACCAAUUGGUCUAAAACAAGUAAAAAGUGACGACUUACAUUUAGUAGACCACGGUCCGUUGCCUCAUCUGGCUAUAACUCCAUGGGCCAGACCCCACAUCAGAUUUUAUAUUGGGGACCACUUCCUGCCCCCCCAAAAAAACCAUACCUAUCUAUGGCUUAUACACUGACGACAAGUUUACAAAACUAUCUUUAAGCCUUUGUUUUGAGAAUGUGUGUCCUUUCCUGCUCUACCAGGAUCCCUCCCCCUCUCCACACUUAAAUAGAUAAUAGUGUCUUUCUUUGCAGCCUUUCAGAGCUUUCUCACCAUCUCCUUUCCUCUCUACUCCCCCCCACCCCCGCUGCGCACCAACCCAUUCCCCGCUGAGAUGAGGAAGGUGCGCCCAAACAGUGUUGAGAGAUACUGCUGCUUUAAGCUUUCACGCCACGCCCCAACUCCACAUGGUAUCUUGGCUCUCAUGCCGUGCUCCAGGUCUGCGCGGGUUUGGCUCUAACACCGCGCCCUAAUCCACGUGCCCCGUGAGCAGUUCUGGCUUCAUGUUUCCCAGCCCGCCCCCCACACUACGUCUGGGCGCUCACCCCGCCUUCACUCUGUGUGCGCUGCGCCCCCCCCCAUGCACGCCCCGCCCAGCCUCAGAGUUCUGUCCUGCCUUAGGUGCUGCGCGUCUCCCGAACAAGCAUCUCCCAAACACAAGCGCUGUUUUAAACACAAACACAGAUAAACAACAGCUUGGCAGCUCGGCUCAGAGAUGCUAUUUUUUUAUAUUCUCAAACUAUUUAAUCAAGGUUAAAUAAGCGGGCAAUAGACAAGACUUUGGCUGAUAAAUGGGAAAGUGGCCACCUGGUAAUUUUACUAGCCUUGUUUAUCAAUUAAAGCCUUCAUUAAUCUCCAUAGCGUUAUAUGAGAUACCUCAACUAAAGUUCAUAUGACUAAAACAAUUCAUAGUUGCUGAUCUGAUGCUGUAUUCGUGUUUUCAGAUAUAAAGUUCAGAUUGUUUCUGCUGUCUUUUUUUGUGUUCCAGCCAUGACAAAUGUUCUCUUUCAGAUCCAGAUAUACACUUAGAGAUGUUUAACAACUAAAAUUAAAAAAUAAUUAUAAAUUCCUUUUGCUGGGAACUACUAGUUAUUUUCCAAAACAAGAGUUACAUGAUAUAUGCAAAACAACAAGACCAACACUGGGGCAGAAGCCAACUUAAACCUUUCCCAGCCUAUCUGCCUGCCCUGGCUCAGCCCUCCACCAAGCCAUAAUUAACUAUAUUCAACUGAUAUUAAAUAACACUGUAGCUGAUUUCUCUCCUAAAUAAAAAGGUAAAAAUUAAUUAAAUAGGCCAUCCUCCAAAAAUCAGAUGGCAUUAGACAUUUUAAUAACAUAAAGAGAUAUAUAUAUAUUACAUAAAUAACAUGUCAGUUCCUAAAAUUCUCUGGAUCUGUCCUCCUUAUGAGAAGCCAUUACUCAAAUUAUAAAUACCCUGUUGAUUAUAUUUGACUCCGCAUACUACUUAAUUCUACAGAUACCUUCUACUGUAGUCCAAAUCUCAAACAAAAAGGCAAAACUUGACCUUCAAACCUCAUAGAGACCUUAAUAUGGCUUUUCAUGUUUUCAACAACAGAGAUAACAAUAACACUUGUGACACUCGGAGUUCUGAGACAGGUAAACCGACACAAGGUAGAGCUGCCUGCCCCCCCACCAUGGACCAUGCCUCAAAUGCAGCAGAAGACAUUGGGCAAGAGAGUGCCCCAUCCUGGCAUUCUUUGGGAUCUUACCCCAGGGCUACUGGACUGUCCUAGCCACCAGAGAGUGCAUAAGCCAUCCUAACUUCUAGCCCUCACUGGAAAUGCCAACACUGCCAGAUUCAUCGCUGACAGAUCUGCUUAAACUUGCUGCUGAAGAUUGACGGGGCUCAGGGCCAACAGCAGCCUGCUUUAAGGUGUGUGUCUCAGAGUUUAAGUCCCACUAAAAGUCUCAGUCUAACAUAUGUGCAUUCACCAGUGAAGUUGUCCUGGCUAAAACAGCUAGCACCAGCUUCUACCUGGGCAUCAACUGUCAUCCUGUCAACUCCCCUAGACCCCAGUACAGUGCCCUCUUCCAGCAGGAAGCAGUAAAGAAAGAAAUCUUCACCCCUUUUCAUAAUAAUAAUCAUAAGAUGGGAUAUGAAAGAGUUUUGGCCCAGACAAGACACUGUAGCUGGUAAAGCCUCAGGUGGAACUAAGGAGCUCCAUCUUCCCCACCCCUACGAAUUUACCUGUGACUGUAUCUCCCCCACCCCUAGGAAUUUACCUAUGGCGCCAAAAGAAUACCAAUGGGCUACCUGUGCAUCACUAAUGCCCCUUAGGUUCCACCCCCAAACCUAGGCUACUUAUAUGCCUCCACUCCACGUGUUCCACGGAGAGAUCACCGACCCCAGGGGCAGGGGAGAUGCUGCGCCCCAGGGGAUUGGGGAUGUCUCUCCCCGCAUUCUCAAAAUAAAGGUCAUUUAUAUUUCAUAA